UGUUAUUUUGGUAAGCACACUCUGAAUUUGAAUUGUAAAGGAGAUUGAUUAUACAAAUGAGGUGGAGAAAGAAGCCAGGACCUCAAACACACAGCUACAUGUAAGAAUAAUGCUUGGGAAAAGAAAGACACUGAGGACAUGAGUGAGAUCUUCAAGUAGUUCUGGUUACCUGGAAAUGAUUUUUGAACUGACCUUUGAAUUCAUGGGAGACACAAUCUGAAAUAGGAAGGCAAAUUCAUAAAACUAAUGGAGAAAAGAAUCAGGACACUCAAGUAUUCUUCACAACCUAGAGUAAAACCUGUACAAUUCCCCUUCAUGAACGAGAGGAGCAUGCCAAGCAAAGAGGAAGUGGUGAAACCACGGCCAGGAUGUAGAGAAACUGCUCAUUUCCUCACAGAUGGCUGUCAAUAAAUAUCCUGGGAAAUUGGAUUAACAGAGAGGAGCCAAGAUUCAGCUUGACCAUUCAUCAUGGCAUUUGGGAAGCAUUAGGGAUAGAGCAUAUGCCCAGAAGAACAAGGAAAUUAUUUUUAAGACAUGGAUUCUUUAAAAAGAUGAAAAAAAAGACUACUUUAUCUGAAGCCGAUUUGCUUUGGUCAUUAGGAAAAAGAUCUGUACAUAACUAUUUCAUUUGUACCUAAAAUAAUAGCCUAAGAUUUUGUGUAGAAAAUAGAGGAAAACAUCCAGAGAUUCUUAGAUAAAUAUUUAACCUGAACCAUAUAUAGUCACCUGAAUAUAACAAUUUGAGAAUAGUAAGGUAAAAAUCUAAAUAAUUAUUAAUUAAUUUUAAAAUGAGAAAUCCAUCUUCAAUUACCCCAGAUUCUUUUUGCUUUUUAAAUAAAAUUGUUA